rnacentral:rRNA from 1 species
UACGGAGGGGGCUAGCGUUGUUCGGAAUUACUGGGCGUAAAGCGCACGUAGGCGGAUUUGUUAGUCAGGGGUGAAAUCCCGGGGCUCAACCUCGGAACUGCCUUUGAUACUGCAAGUCUCGAGUCCGGAAGAGGUGAGUGGAAUUCCUAGUGUAGAGGUGAAAUUCGUAGAUAUUAGGAAGAACACCAGUGGCGAAGGCGGCUCACUGGUCCGGUACUGACGCUGAGGUGCGAAAGCGUGGGGAGCAACAG